UACGUAUGUUCCAAGCGUUAUCCGGAUUUAUUGGGCGUAAAGCGAGCGCAGACGGUUAUUUAAGUCUGAAGUGAAAGCCCUCAGCUCAACUGAGGAAGGGCUUUGGAAACUGGAUAACUUGAGUGCAGUAGAGGAAAGUGGAACUCCAUGUGUAGCGGUGAAAUGCGUAGAUAUAUGGAAGAACACCGGUGGCGAAAGCGGCUUUCUGGACUGUAACUGACGUUGAGGCUCGAAAGUGUGGGUAGCAAACAGGAUUAGAUACCCCCGUAGUCCCU
rnacentral:rRNA from 1 species